AUGGGGAUGAGGGGCCCCGCCCGAAGAGGCCGUUGGAGCGCCCUGAGUCCUCUCGCCCUCCGCGCGGCCCUCCCAUGCCGGCUAGGGACGGCGCCCGACGGGGGGCCGACAACCGCCGGCUCGCUGACCGGGAUGACUGGGCCGCUCCCCGCAGAGCUUGGGCAGCCGCUCCCUACCGGCCGCCCCCCGCUCGUGAGGGCACCCUUGACGGCCGCCGCGACGCGCGACUCCCUCUGCCUGGUUCCCAGGGGGCGCGACGCCGGGAGGAGGCUGGGCGGCUGCGUGAAGACAACCAGCGACGCGAAGAUGAACUCCACUCCGAGCUACAGCGCCGACCUGUGUACUCCGCCCCUAGCCGACCUGGUCCGGAGGUGGGCCAGAGCUCGCGCCAAGGCGCCCGGAGUUCCGCAGGUCCUCGUCCUGGUCGCACGGUACACCCCCCGUUGCACCUCGGAGGAGGCUCCGGGUCCAGUUGGGCCGUCGACGAAGCGGAAGAAGAAGCACUCGGGUGGGCUCAAUGGUCCUACCAUCAUGGAUGGAUCGGGGAGGUCGGCCGUCGGGGAGCCGGAGCAGGAGGCCCCGGUGAUUCCCCCGGCCAGAGCCAGUCGCGCCCGGACCCAUGACGAGACGCUGUGCAUCAACUGUGGGUGUGCCGGUCACUUCCGUUCGGAGUGCUUGGCGCCCUCCCGGUGCCCUACCACUCUUGCCUACCUGGGGUACGGGGUGGAGGGGGGUGGCUUCUACUAUGUGCACGCGACCCUGGAGGACGAACCCGUCCGGCCUCAUGCUGGAUGCGCUUCUGGAUUCGACACGUCUUUUAUCGUCGUCGUAGGACCGCCUGACGACUGGCACCAGGUGGUUUUUUUCCUUAUUUCUCUCUUGGUUUUUUGGGCAUGA
rnacentral:rRNA from 1 species